GAUGAACGCUAGCGGCAGGCCUAAUACAUGCAAGUCGGACGGGAUUCAGGAGCUUGCUUCUGAUGAGAGUGGCGCACGGGUGCGUAACACGUAUGUAGCCUACCUUUAUCAGGGGGAUAGCCUCUCGAAAGAGAGAUUAAGCCCGCAUAAAAUCACAGCACAGCAUUGUGUAAUGAUCAAAUAUUUAUAGGAUAAAGAUGGGCAUGCGGAACAUUAGCUAGAUGGCGGGGUAACGGCCCACCAUGGCGACGAUGUUUAGGGGAUCUGAGAGGAUGGCCCCCCACACUGGUACUGAGACACGGACCAGACUCCUACGGGAGGCAGCAGUAAGGAAUAUUGGUCAAUGGGCGGAAGCCUGAACCAGCCAUGCCGCGUGCAGGAAGACGGCCCUACGGGUUGUAAACUGCUUUUAUACGGGAAUAAACCCAGAUACGUGUAUCUGGCUGAAUGUACUGUAAGAAUAAGGAUCGGCUAACUCCGUG
rnacentral:rRNA from 1 species